GUCCCCGUAGCUCAGCAGGAUAGAGCGUUCCCCUCCUAAGGGAAAGGCCACAGGUUCGAUUCCUGUCGGGGACGCCA
rnacentral:tRNA from 1 species